rnacentral:rRNA from 1 species
UGGGGAAUUUUGGACAAUGGGCGCAAGCCUGAUCCAGCAAUGCCGCGUGCAGGAUGAAGGCCUUCGGGUUGUAAACUGCUUUUGUACGGAGCGAAAAGGUCUGCCCUAAUACGGUGGGCUCAUGACGGUACCGUAAGAAUAAGCACCGGCUAACUACGUGCCAGCAGCCGCGGUAAUACGUAGGGUGCGAGCGUUAAUCGGAAUUACUGGGCGUAAAGCGUGCGCAGGCGGUUAUAUAAGACAGGUGUGAAAUCCCCGGGCUCAACCUGGGACCUGCAUUUGUGACUGUAUAGCUAGAGCACGGUAGAGGGGGAUGGAAUUCCGCGUGUAGCAGUGAAAUGCGUAGAUAUGCGGAGGAACACCGAUGGCGAAGGCAAUCCCCUGGACCUGUACUGACGCUCAUGCACGAAAGCGUGGGGAGCAAACA